UUGAGAACCCUAGAGACAGGAGUCUUUAUUUACAUGCAGAACAGACACAUCAGAGGAAGGAACAGUGCAAGCUUCCCAUGGCAAUAUGCCUCAACCCUGACUUUGGGGGACCAUCUCUAGAGAUGAGACAGGGCAAUUCAGUUCUGUGGCUCAUUAAAUCCUUGGGCUUUC
rnacentral:sRNA from 1 species